rnacentral:rRNA from 1 species
GUUAAGCGACUAAGCGUACACGGUGGAUGCCCUGGCAGUCAGAGGCGAUGAAGGACGUGCUAAUCUGCGAUAAGCGUCGGUAAGGUGAUAUGAACCGUUAUAACCGGCGAUUUCCGAAUGGGGAAACCCAGUGUGUUUCGACACACUAUCAUUAACUGAAUCCAUAGGUUAAUGAGGCGAACCGGGGGAACUGAAACAUCUAAGUACCCCGAGGAAAAGAAAUCAACCGAGAUUCCCCCAGUAGCGGCGAGCGAACGGGGAGCAGCCCAGAGCCUGAAUCAGUGUGUGUGUUAGUGGAAGCGUCUGGAAAGGCGCGCGAUACAGGGUGACAGCCCCGUACACAAAAAUGCACAUGCUGUGAGCUCGAUGAGUAGGGCGGGACACGUGGUAUCCUGUCUGAAUAUGGGGGGACCAUCCUCCAAGGCUAAAUACUCCUGACUGACCGAUAGUGAACCAGUACCGUGAGGGAAAGGCGAAAAGAACCCCGGCGAGGGGAGUGAAAAAGAACCUGAAACCGUGUACGUACAAGCAGUGGGAGCACGCUUAGGCGUGUGACUGCGUACCUUUUGUAUAAUGGGUCAGCGACUUAUAUUCUGUAGCAAGGUUAACCGAAUAGGGGAGCCGAAGGGAAACCGAGUCUUAACUGGGCGUUAAGUUGCAGGGUAUAGACCCGAAACCCGGUGAUCUAGCCAUGGGCAGGUUGAAGGUUGGGUAACACUAACUGGAGGACCGAACCGACUAAUGUUGAAAAAUUAGCGGAUGACUUGUGGCUGGGGGUGAAAGGCCAAUCAAACCGGGAGAUAGCUGGUUCUCCCCGAAAGCUAUUUAGGUAGCGCCUCGUGAAUUCAUCUCCGGGGGUAGAGCACUGUUUCGGCAAGGGGGUCAUCCCGACUUACCAACCCGAUGCAAACUGCGAAUACCGGAGAAUGUUAUCACGGGAGACACACGGCGGGUGCUAACGUCCGUCGUGAAGAGGGAAACAACCCAGACCGCCAGCUAAGGUCCCAAAGUCAUGGUUAAGUGGGAAACGAUGUGGGAAGGCCCAGACAGCCAGGAUGUUGGCUUAGAAGCAGCCAUCAUUUAAAGAAAGCGUAAUAGCUCACUGGUCGAGUCGGCCUGCGCGGAAGAUGUAACGGGGCUAAACCAUGCACCGAAGCUGCGGCAGCGACGCUUAUGCGUUGUUGGGUAGGGGAGCGUUCUGUAAGCCUGUGAAGGUGUGCUGUGAGGCAUGCUGGAGGUAUCAGAAGUGCGAAUGCUGACAUAAGUAACGAUAAAGCGGGUGAAAAGCCCGCUCGCCGGAAGACCAAGGGUUCCUGUCCAACGUUAAUCGGGGCAGGGUGAGUCGACCCCUAAGGCGAGGCCGAAAGGCGUAGUCGAUGGGAAACAGGUUAAUAUUCCUGUACUUGGUGUUACUGCGAAGGGGGGACGGAGAAGGCUAUGUUGGCCGGGCGACGGUUGUCCCGGUUUAAGCGUGUAGGCUGGUUUUCCAGGCAAAUCCGGAAAAUCAAGGCUGAGGCGUGAUGACGAGGCACUACGGUGCUGAAGCAACAAAUGCCCUGCUUCCAGGAAAAGCCUCUAAGCAUCAGGUAACAUCAAAUCGUACCCCAAACCGACACAGGUGGUCAGGUAGAGAAUACCAAGGCGCUUGAGAGAACUCGGGUGAAGGAACUAGGCAAAAUGGUGCCGUAACUUCGGGAGAAGGCACGCUGAUAUGUAGGUGAAGUCCCUCGCGGAUGGAGCUGAAAUCAGUCGAAGAUACCAGCUGGCUGCAACUGUUUAUUAAAAACACAGCACUGUGCAAACACGAAAGUGGACGUAUACGGUGUGACGCCUGCCCGGUGCCGGAAGGUUAAUUGAUGGGGUUAGCCGCAAGGCGAAGCUCUUGAUCGAAGCCCCGGUAAACGGCGGCCGUAACUAUAACGGUCCUAAGGUAGCGAAAUUCCUUGUCGGGUAAGUUCCGACCUGCACGAAUGGCGUAAUGAUGGCCAGGCUGUCUCCACCCGAGACUCAGUGAAAUUGAACUCGCUGUGAAGAUGCAGUGUACCCGCGGCAAGACGGAAAGACCCCGUGAACCUUUACUAUAGCUUGACACUGAACAUUGAGCCUUGAUG